CAUCACACAUGUGACAUCAUCAAGUGUUUGGAGCUAUCUCUACCAGCCACUAGUACAGCUCAGGCCUUAGCUAUCAGAGGGAGUGCACACAAAGAGCAGGAGAUGAGGAAGAGGACAAGAGGACACAGGAGAGGUGAUUGAUGCCCCGUGAGAAGGUGAACGUGACAUAAACCCUCGUCAGCUGCAAAAAAGGAACCGCGAGACAGGUGACUGAUGCCCCGUGAGAAGGUGAACGUGACGUAUACACUCGUUAGCUGCAAAAAGGAACAGCGAGACAGGU